UACAGAGGGGGCAAGCGUUGUUCGGAAUUACUGGGCGUAAAGGGCGCGUAGGCGGUCUUGUAAGUCUCGUGUGAAAUCCCUCGGCUUAACUGAGGAACUGCACGGGAUACUGCAUGACUUGAGAUCGGGAGAGGGAAGCGGAAUUCCGGGUGUAGCGGUGAAAUGCGUAGAUAUCCGGAGGAACACCGGUGGCGAAGGCGGCUUCCUGGACCGACACUGACGCUGAGGCGCGAAAGCUAGGGGAGCAAACGGG
rnacentral:rRNA from 1 species